ACCCACGCGUUCCCAUCUCGAACACGACCGUUAAGCCCUCCAGCGUCGAUGGUACUUGAACCGCAGGGUUCUGGGAGAGUAGAACGUUGCCA
rnacentral:rRNA from 1 species